UGGAAAAACAAAAAAAAAAAAAAAAAAAAACAAACAAAAAAAACAAAAACAAAAACACAGAUACUGAACGAUAAUGAUCUUACAAACUCAAGGUUUCAAGCUAUUGACGAUGACCACUGAGCUAUCGUGUCUUGCGUAUAUUAUACGUAUACACUAUUUAAAAUAAACUAUUUUAAUUGCUGGUUACUUUCCCAGGGGUGGUAUAGUACGUCAUCAACAGGUGCGCGCAACACUUCCCGAUGCGGCUUUUUUGUGUCAAAACAUCUCGAUUCGGUACAUGAAAGAUGAAAAAGGAAACAAAACUUCUAGUCUGCAUCAAUGGAAUUGUCAAUAUAUGUUAAAAAGGAUUGCUGAGUGAUCGGCAUGCAAGACAUUAUUGACAUAUUAUAUUUUCCAAAAGCUGUACGACAUAAUAUUUGAGAAGUGGAGAACAUCCUCUAACGGAAUUACCCAAGACAAGGAUUUCAACGCUCAACUAGGUCUCCGUACCAAACUUUGUCACGACUAUGUCGGUUGCUGUUUGAAGGGCAACGUGGUCAUCACAAUUGCUCGGGAAAAAAUGAGAAAUUACUGUAUCGCGCCAACGAAAUGUUCUUAUUAAGGAGUUUUAGAUGUGCGCAGGGAAAGACCAAGAGUGACUACAACCGAAUUAUAAUUACCACGUUGUAGAUUGGGACAUUGAAUCUACACUAGAAAGCGGUUGAGGAUUUAACAUUUUACUAAUGUUCAGAUUUUGCUUGCAAAUCUUAGUGCACCCAAUUACAUGUUAAAACUCGAAGUGAGCUUGAACAGUGGUAGAACAAUUUUACUUGCAAUGUAAAUUACUUUGCUUUUCUUAAACUGUUUAGUUGUUGAAAAUGUUGUUGUAUAAAAGAUUAUUUAAAAUAGGAAA